UCUGUUUUAUCAGUUAGGAAAGUGGCCUCCCUGCUAUAACCUAUCCUCAAUUCCUCACCUGACACAGAUACAUUUGAUUACCUGCUGCCUCCUCUUCCUCUAUUAUAACUCAAGACAUGGUGGAAGCUUCUGUGGUCUAUCUCAGCUCUGGCUAUAACUCCACUACCUAUUCAAAUAAUAUUCCAAGAUGGUGUUCAUUACUUAGGUCAGUGACUUUGAUAAGUCACUUUUCUGGACCAUGUACAUUGUCAGUUAGUAAAACUGUAUCUGCUACAUAUUGGAUGUUAUUGAUAACCUGCCCACCAACAAUAAUAGUGUCAUUUGAAUCAAGCAGCAGAAGACCAGCAGAUGCAAAGCAGGCACAGAGCGGGUCUACCUGGGACAUAGAUGAUGAUCCACCCACCAGGAGGCUCGCCCUGGAAAAGCAGCUGAAAGCCUUCCCCCGCUCCCUUGUCAUUUUUUUUUCAUCAUUAAUUUGCUGUGGUCCCCCUCUCUUGUGUUUCCCUGAAGGUUUCUAGUGACUAUUAUGACACCAGGUGGCACAUCCUAGAUACCUGAUUUAUCAAUAUAUCACUAAUGAAAUAAAAUUAUUUAAGAACAA